CCCAUAGUAGUAUAUAUGAGUACACAUGCCUUUUCGAGGCGUAGGAGGUAAAAUUUACCUUAUGGGC
rnacentral:tRNA from 1 species